rnacentral:tRNA from 3 species
GGCCAGAUAGCUCAGUCGGUAGAGCAACGGACUGAAAAUCCGUGUGUCGGUGGUUCGAUUCCACCUCUGGCCACCA